ACGGGGCCCGCACAAGCGGUGGAGCAUGUGGUUUAAUUCGAUGCAACGCGAAGAACCUUUACCUGGUCUUGACAUCCACGGAAGUUUUCAGAGAUGAGAAUGUGCCUUCGGGAACCGUGAGACAGGUGCUGCAUGGCUGUCGUCAGCUCGUGUUGUGAAAUGUUGGGUUAAGUCCCGCAACGAGCGCAACCCUUAUCCUUUGUUGCCAGCGGUCCGGCCGGGAACUCAAAGGAGACUGCCAGUGAUAAACUGGAGGAAGGUGGGAUGACGUCAAGUCAUCAUGGCCCUUACGACCAGGGCUACACACGUGCUACAAUGGCGCAUACAAAGAGAAGCGACCUCGCGAGAGCAAGCGGACCUCAUAAAGUGCGUCGUAGUCCGGAUUGGAGUCUGCAACUCGACUCCAUGAAGUCGGAAUCGCUAGUAAUCGUGGAUCAGAAUGCCACGGUGAAUACGUUCCCGGGCCUU
rnacentral:rRNA from 1 species